rnacentral:rRNA from 1 species
GACGAACGCUGGCGGCGUGCUUAACACAUGCAAGUCGAACGGAAAGGCCCUGCUUUUGUGGGGUGCUCGAGUGGCGAAAGGGUGAGUAACACGUGAGUAACCUGCCCUUGACUUUGGGAUAACUUCAGGAAACUGGGGCUAAUACCGGAUAGGAGCUCCUGCUGCAUGGUGGGGGUUGGAAAGUUUCGGCGGUUGGGGAUGGACUCGCGGCUUAUCAGCUUGUUGGUGGGGUAGUGGCUUACCAAGGCUUUGACGGGUAGCCGGCCUGAGAGGGUGACCGGCCACAAUGGGACUGAGAUACGGCCCAGACUGCUACGGGAGGCAACAGUGGGGAGUAUGACGCAGUGGGCGGAAGCCUGAUGCAACAACGCCGCGUGCGGGAUGACGGCCUUCGGGUUGUAAACCGCUUUCGCCUGUGACGAGGCGGGAGUGACGGUAAUGGAUAAAGAAGCACCGGCUAACUACGUG